rnacentral:lncRNA from 1 species
GGCGGAAGAAAAAAAAAAUAAUAAUUAAAAACCAAUUGUUCAGAGAACAAUUGAAGGUCUUUCAACUAAUAAAGAUCUAUUUUGAUAUGAAAAUAUUAAAAUUCAGUUGAAAAUGUCAGUUCCUAUGGCUAAAUGAUGUAUAAAUAUGAAUUUCGAGCAAAGGUCAAAAUCUAGAACGUCCAAUUAACCUAUGACCUUGACCUCAAUUUCAAGGUAUUAGACUAAACAUCUCAAAUCAAAAGACAGUAGUUCCUUAAUAUGUAUGGUUCAUGAGUAAUAUCACUUUACACAUAAUUCUAAAUAUAAGAGGGGCGAAAACUCCAAUUUUUUGUCUACGCACCCUUUCAACCAAAAUUUAUAAGUUAUGACAUGUCGUAACUAACAAUUUAGUAAAAAUAAUUUGUCGAUAUCUAAUAAGGUUAAUGAAAAUAAGUGAAAAUAAGCCAAAAUCGAAAUUUAGAAUUUGACCUUGACCUUUGACCUUGACCUAUUUUUCAUUUUUUUGGACCAAGGAUCUUAAAUCAAAAGACCCUAGGUCUCUAUCACUUAUGGUUUACCAGUUAGAAAUGCAUAUCACUUAUAUCAUAUACAAAAGGGGGGAUAACUCUCAUAUGGAGUUUCCGGAUAGCUUCGGUUAAAACUAAAAUCCUAAUCCUGAAGAUGUAACGAGCAAUUUGGUAAAAUAAAUUUGUCGUAAUCUUUUACGGUUGCGAAGGAGUAGUGGCCACAAGAAAAACAGUGUUUGGGGAGAUAACUCUCACAACGUAAAGUUUUUAGUUACGCCUUUGUCAAUUUUUAAAGCGUAUAAACUUUACGAUAUCAUAUUCCAAAUAUCUAAGCGACAUCUUUUGAAACAUCAAUAAUACGCAAGAAAAAAGUUAGGCGGAAGAAAAAAAAAAAUAAUAAUAAUUAAAAACCAAUU